CCUACGGGAGGCAGCAGUGAGGAAUAUUGGUCAAUGGGCGCGAGCCUGAACCAGCCAAGUAGCGUGAAGGAUGACUGCCCUACGGGUUGUAAACUUCUUUUAUAAAGGAAUAAAGUGAGGCACGUGUGCCUUUUUGUAUGUACUUUAUGAAUAAGGAACGGCUAACUCCGUUCCAUCAGCCGCGGUAAUACGGAGGAUCCGAGCGUUCUCCGGAUUUAUUGGGUUUCAAGGGAGCGUAGAUGGGUUGUUAAGUCAGAUGUGAAAGUUUGCGGCUCAACCGUAAAAUGGCAAUUGAUACUGGCAGACUUGAGUACAGAUGAGGUAGGCGGAAUUCGUGGUGUAGCGGUGAAAUGCGUAGA
rnacentral:rRNA from 1 species